AGACUUUCUCAGUGUCGAAACCAAGGCAGACAGAUUUUUCCUCGGACCUCGCUUUGGAAAACGGCAACAGGAUUCUUUCACCAUAGGUGGCGCCGUCGGCGGGCAGCGGCUGCCGGAUGUGCUCAGCGACGGCUUCUCCUUCACCUGCGUCGCCGUCGAGCCGGACAACAUCUACCGGUGUCGCCCCGCGCAGCGGCAGGGGAGCAGCGGCAUGUGAUGGCGGCACCGCCUCCGGCACCCGGCCCCAGCGGUCACCGUCGACUGAAGACCAGCUGGGCCCGCAGAGGCCGCGUCCGCUGUGUGGGGCGCUGGCCAGCCGGGCCGCACCCGCUGAAGCCACACCUGCAUACUGUCACGUCUGAAGGCGCCCGGCUGACGGCCAAGGCCCGUUCCGGCUACUGACCACAGCCACCCCUCCGUCCCCACCCCCGCCCGAGCCGAGCCGACCUUGUCGGACUGUCAGAGGAGUCGGCUCUGCUCUGACAGAGGUCUGUUUUGCCGGGCCGCCUGCCGGGUGCGGAGCGGUGCCUAGCCUUCCGGACGCGUCCCUCACCGGCGGCUGAAGCGAUCUCCUGUGUGAGGAAGCAAGGGCGCGUUUGAAAUCCUAUGAAUCUGGGGGCUGGAAACGUCGAUUUGAUUUCAGUCGGGAAAAAUUGUACGAUGACGCCUUGUUUUGACGUUGUUCCUUUCUGUCGGGUUUAAAGGGGAUAUUGUCUGUUGGUUGAGUUAGCGACGUAGUGCGUUACAUUGUUCACUACCAUACCUGGGCUGGAGGGAUCUCAUUGCCCGUAGUUCGGGUCGUCCGGAAAUCAGCGCGUAAAUCGUGGGUGGCUCUCAAACUGGUGCAGACGAGCGCGCGUCGGAAGUUAGCGCUGAUGUCUGAAGGUACGUCAAAAGUGGCUCUCAAACUGCGGUUCAUAUGAGCGUUUAUCGUGCGGAGCUGUCAAAAUAAUAGAAAAUCCCACCCGAUUCGUGGGCUUGUUUCCACACCAUUUGAAACGCGCAUUUGCAUCCCUCCAGCUCUAGCGUUGGGACACAGACGAGGCGCAAGUGAUUUCGCUCGAGAUCACGUUGCAAGACCAUGUUGUGGGAUAUCAUCAAACAGAUGUCAAUGCCAAGUAACGCUGCAUGCCACCUGAGGCAUUAUAUUACAUUCAGUGACGGCAAAUAAAUUCUGCAAAGAGCUUGACAAUGUAUUCUACGAAAA